rnacentral:rRNA from 1 species
AUUGAACGCUGGCGGAAUGCUUUACACAUGCAAGUCGAACGGCAGCAUGGGGGCAACCCUGGUGGCGAGUGGCGAACGGGUGAGUAAUACAUCGGAACGUGCCCAGUCGUGGGGAUAACGUAGCGAAAGCUACGCUAAUACCGCAUACGAUCUACGGAUGAAAGCGGGGGAUCGCAAGACCUCGCGCGAUUGGAGCGGCCGAUGGCAGAUUAGGUAGUUGGUGGGGGAAAGGCUCACAAAGCCGACGAUCUGUAGCUGGUCUGAGAGGACGACCAGCCACACUGGGACUGAGACACGGCCCAGACUCCUACGGGAGGCAGCAGUGGGGAAUUUUGGACAAUGGGCGAAAGCCUGACCCAGCCAUUCCGCGUGCGGGAUGAAGGCCCUCGGGUUGUAAACUGCUUUUGUACGGAACGAAACGGCUCUCUCUAAUACAGGGGGCUAAUGACGGCACCGUAAGAAUAAGCACCGGCUAACUACGUGCCAGCCGCCGCCGUAA